UUGCUUUUAAGGCAUAUACACUAAAUUUGGAAUGAUACAGAAAAGAUUAGCAUGGCUCCUGCACAAGGAUGACACGCAAAUUUGUGACAUGUUCCAUAUUUAA